rnacentral:rRNA from 1 species
AGUGAACGCUGGCGGUAGGCCUAACACAUGCAAGUCGAACGGCAGCACAGUAAGAGCUUGCUCUUACGGGUGGCGAGUGGCAGACGGGUGAGGAAUACAUCGGAAUCUACUUUUUCGUGGGGGAUAACGUAGGGAAACUUACGCUAAUACCGCAUACGACCUACGGGUGAAAGCAGGGGAUCUUCGGACCUUGCGCGAUUGAAUGAGCCGAUGUCGGAUUAGCUAGUUGGCGGGGUAAAGGCCCACCAAGGCGACGAUCCGUAGCUGGUCUGAGAGGAUGAUCAGCCACACUGGAACUGAGACACGGUCCAGAGUCCUACGGGAGGCAGCAGUGGGGAAUAUUGGACAAUGGGCGCAAGCCUGAUCCAGCCAUACCGCGUGUGUGAAGAAGGCCUUCGGGUUGUAAAGCCCUUUUGUUGGGAAAGAAAAGCAGCAGGUUAAUACCCCGCUGUUCUGACGGUACCCAAAGAAUAAGCACCGGCUAACUUCGUG